AGUCUUCCCUUCUAUCCACUUAAAACACUAUCUGAGCUCAAUUCGCUGGAUAACAUUUGAAGAGGAGAGUUGUCUGAAAGGGGGAAUCUUCUGCUACACUGCUGCGUUGCAACUCGGAGUUUUACAAUGUUGUGCAUCCAAUUCCAUGCUCCAUUGCUUCCCUUACAAUCACAGCUCAAACACAAGAAACAUCCGAGGACACCUCAGCUGCUUUGGCUCUCUAGCUGUGAAGCUACACAGUUUUUUCCACACAGGCCAAACAACUUUUCUCUACUGGCUCCGAGGACCAACGCCAUCCCCAAUUCUCUUCUUCUCGCUGCCUCGUCCGAAGUCAAGCCCGGAGGAGACAUAUCGGUCCUGCUCCCAGUCAGUGCGGUACUUCUCUCUGCAUACUUCCUAGCAAAUUUCAUCGUGCCGACAUUCAUCAUGAAGGAUUUAGGCUUUGACAAAGAAAGUGAAAAGCAGAAGGGUAAUGAUGAUAAUUCCAAUUAAGAUGAUAUCACCAGCACAACUAGCAGUCAAGUAAGCUCAGAAACUAAGGUGAGAGCAUGAGGUUAAAAAAGAGGGGCAUUCUUUCAUGUGAUAUCUUAAUUAUAACUGUGAUUGUAGUAAUAAUACCAUCGCUUCAAAACAUCUGUUCAUGAUUUACCACUCCCAAUUUACUUUCA